UUACUUACCUUUCAGAUGCUUCACCCAAUGCCAGACUCAGUCAUUGCACUGAGGUUGUGCUGACCCCUGCAAAUUCCCCAAAUGUGGAAAUACCAACUGCGUAAUUUCUGCUGGUGGGGGACCAUGUUUAGCCUUGUAAACCAGCCCCAC
rnacentral:snRNA from 1 species